UCAGAAUUCUUCUGCCCUGGUGCAGUGUCCCAAUCACUUCCAUGUCUCUGAUAAAUAUUUUAGUGUUCUGGACAGUUUCUCUCUUCAAAACUGACACUUCAUUAUACAACUUCUUAGAAUAACUGCUGCUGAUGGCUCACAGGAGCUUUUCAGUUCUAGGGAUCCUCAUCCUGACUGGAGUCUCAGUUGCAACCACAUUGCAGAGACCUGGUUGGCAUAACCAUAAGAAAACAUAAGCAUCCUCACUCCAUUUGCACAAUGUCCCAUUUAACAAUUCAUGGGAACAAGGAAUAUGGUUUAUAUGAAAAUAACACUUGAAACUAAUCAUGAAUUAUAUAUCCACAUAUUUUUUCAACCUAUCAGCCCACCUAGAAUCUUUUAUCUUAACAGAAAGGAACAAUAGUGUUUUCAAGAUGCAGUUGAGAAAUAGAAUAACAAAGGAUAUCCUGGUAGUACUGGAUACUAUCUUCCAGGAUAUCAUAUGCAUCCCAACUCAACAAAUGUUUUAUGCCUCAAAAACUUCAAGAAUGUAAUAUAUAUAGGCAUGGGAGCCAAAGGCUACAAGUAAAAGUGGUUCCACUCACUGUAACUCCCAGAAAACCAUUUGUAUUAUCUAUGCUUGCCUUUUUAUUACAAAAAAAGCAGCAGACAAAAGUUGAUUUACUAAUAUGCAUGAUUUCUCCUAGUCAUAAGGAUGAGGUGACACUGCUAUUAUAUGAUGGAAACAAAGUAUAUGAGUAGGACUCAGAUGACCUACCAAUGAAUCUCUUGUUGGUCCUAUGCCCAGUUUUACAGGGACAUGGAUAUUUCACUAGGCAUGGUUUGAGAAAGACAUAGUACCACGUGUUCCAGGACAUUCAGGGUGAAUUCUGGGAGACAUCCUCCAAGCAAAGUGCCCAAAUAAGCAAAGGUGCUAAUAGGAUCUUUGGGUUUUCGGAAAGGGAGCAAGCAGAUUUUAAUGAAUCUUUGAUAUGCCCUUGAGUUUAGUUGUAGCA